GAUGAAGAACGUAACGAAAUGCGAUAAGUAAUGUGAAUUGCAGAAUUCAGUGAAUCAUCGAAUCUUUGAACGCACAUUGCGCCCGCCAGUAUUCUGGCGGGCAUGCCUGUUCGAGCGUCAUUACAACCCUCAGGCCCCCGGGCCUGGCGUUGGGGAUCGGCGGAGCCCCCCGUGGGCACACGCCGUCCCCCAAAUGCAGUGGCGGUCCCGCCGCAGCUUCCAUCGCGUAGUAGCUAACACCUCGCGACUGGAGAGCGGCGCGGCCACGCCGUAAAACACCCAACUCUUCUGAAGUUGACCUCGAAUCAGGUAGGAAUACCCGCUGAACUUAAGCAUAUCAAUAAGCGGAGGA
rnacentral:misc_RNA from 1 species